AGUGAACGCUGGCGGUAGGCCUAACACAUGCAAGUCGAACGGCAGCACAGUAAGAGCUUGCUCUUACGGGUGGCGAGUGGCGGACGGGUGAGGAAUACAUCGGAAUCUACUUUUUCGUGGGGGAUAACGUAGGGAAACUUACGCUAAUACCGCAUACGACCUACGGGUGAAAGCAGGGGAUCUUCGGACCUUGCGCGAUUGAAUGAGCCGAUGUCGGAUUAGCUAGUUGGCGGGGUAAAGGCCCACCAAGGCGACGAUCCGUAGCUGGUCUGAGAGGAUGAUCAGCCACACUGGAACUGAGACACGGUCCAGACUCCUAAGGGAGGCAGCAGUGGGGAAUAUUGGACAAUGGGCGCAAGCCUGAUCCAGCCAUACCGCGUGGGUGAAGAAGGCCUUCGGGUUGUAAAGCCCUUUUGUUGGGAAAGAAAAGCAGCAGGUUAAUACCCCGCUGUUCUGACGGUAACCAAAGAAUAAGCACCGGCUAACUUCGUG
rnacentral:rRNA from 1 species